GAUUUCAGAUGGGACAGUAAUUCUUGACAGAUGUGUGUUUACUGCCAUUUGAACUUUGUUUUCCAGGUGGUUUGGUAUUUCUUCUUUGUUCCUUUCUUUUCCUUUUUGUUUUUCUUUUUGUGGUUUGAUAAUUUUCUUUUGUAUUAGCUUGGUUUCUUUUUGGUUUUCAUGAC